GACGAACCGUGCGAACGUUGUUCGGAAUCACUGGGCUUAAAGGGCGCGUAGGCGGGCAGUCAAGUCAAGGGUGAAAUACCUCGGCGGCUCCGAACCGUAGAAGAGCCCCUGAUGACUGGCUGUCGUCGAGGGAGGUAGGGGCGUGUGGAACUUCCGGUGGAGCGGUGAAAUGCGUAGAUAUCGGAAGGAACGCCGGUGGCGAAGCGACGCGCUGGACCUCUUCUGACGCUGAGGCGCGAAAGCCAGGGGAGCAAACGGG
rnacentral:rRNA from 1 species